GUGCUCAACAGGAAAUCUGGUGUCUGAUUUUUAGUCGAGCUGAAAGCCAUGAAACUCAUUCUGCGGUGGAUUUUUUGCUUCAGUUUAGGUGUGUAUCUACUGAAUGGAUGAUAUCUACUAUGUGAAGGAUUUUCUAUUUUAAAACAGAAUCUAAAAGAUCCCCCUCAGGUUCUUGUUAAAGUUCAGUACUGAAGGAAUGGUUCACACAAAACAGCACAAAAAAAAAAAAACAAACAAAAAAAAAAAAAACAACAACAAAACAAAAACGGAAAAAUUAUAUUAGUGAGCAAAGUUGGUCUAAGCAGUUUGUUUGAGAUAGAUUAUUUAUUUCGCCUAUUAAUAAGUCGUUGGUUUGAUGCUUUCUGUAUGUAAACCUUACAUUCACUUUUCUGUUUUUUUUCUAUGUUUCCGGCCUGUAGGUGCUCAACAGGAAAUCUGGUGUCUGAUUUUUAGUCGAGCUGAAAGCCAUGAAACUCAUUCUGCGGUGGAUUUUUUGCUUCAGUUUAGGUUUUGUCGCUGAUUGCCAAGUGAAUCGUUAUGGAUUGAAAGGAAGCUCAAUCCGUCUGAGCACGUAAUAACUUCGCAACGAUUAAACAGGAAAGAGGUGCUUACAGACGCAAAAGAAGUUUCCCCUCAUUUUGAGAAAAGAAUGAGCCUAAACGUCUCAGACAUGUCUUUGACCAUACACAACCUUGAGGAAAAUGACAGUGGACUGUAUGAAGUCAUUAAGAAGUGGGAGUCUGAACCUCUGGCUGCAUUCACACUUACAGUGGAGAGCACUGUCUCUAAGCCUGUAAUCAGAGUGGAUCAACAUGACUUUAAUUCGUCUGCUGAAGUGUGUCGGGCCGCAGUGAACUGUUCGGCUGAUGGCAGCUGGGCCACGUUUGACUGCCACCAAAAUAUCUGUACAAAGAUACGAUCCUCUCCAUUCUCCAUUAACAUCACUGUCACUGCACUGCACAGCAGCGGCAUCGAAUGCAACGUCAGCAACAACGUGAGCAAGAAUCAUUCUCAGACUCCCAUUACGUGCCAUGAAAAGCAGAAAAGUGAUUAUCGUUUUCUCCCAUCGCUCAUCUUCUGGAUCGUUGGCACCGUUUGUGGUGGUGUUUUGUUGGGUUUGGUUAUGGGUGGGAUUGUAGCAUUUGUCAAGAGAAGAAAAUGUUCAAAAGUUCAUCCACAGUCCAGUCGUGUUGUGAUUGAACAGCAUCAUGAAACAAUUUACUGCACCGUGGAAAAGCCGGCCACAUCCCAGACAUAUCCAGGAAACAACACUGUCAGCAACAAUGUAGAAACCAUCUACGACACUCCAUCACGACAUACCAAGGCUUGUCAAGUAGACAGUGUGGAGGUGAUGAGAGACAAUCAGGAGCAACAGCAAUCUGGACAAGACAGAACUAUUCAAGUAAAAGCUACAGUUCACCAGGCAGCAGAACCCGAUUCAGAUCCAAUAAACACUGUUUACUGCAAACUGGGAGAGAUAUGA
rnacentral:lncRNA from 1 species